UUAUUCCCGAAUUCACUUUUAACCUAGAAGCAAGCUGCCGACACACCCAGGAAGCUGCCGUUGCACCAAGCCGAUCGCGAUGACCCUCACACCCAGCAUGCUCGCCUUCAUGUUCAUCUAACCCUCACACCCAACCCUCUCUCCGUCACACCCAAACCCUAAAUCACUUUCUCAUUCACCACUCUCAUCACUACUCUAUGAUUAACUGUGCCUGGAGCUCCACCGUCUUCAUUUCACCGCGCCUCGAGCUCCGCGGUGCACGAUUCACUGCGCCUCAAGCUCCUUUGUCUCUCCGUCUUGAGCAUCACCGCCUUCGUCAGACCAGCGUCGUAGCCGAGCCGUCGUCCCCUUCUUUAUCCCUCCCAGGCAUCGGCGUGCCCUCCUACUCCCUCAGUGGUCUCUGUCUCGCAAACCUUCGUUGGAUUCCGAACCCUCUGUCUCUGUCUCAAUCGGCACCGUAAGCACUGGUUCAUUCAGACAUAUGGUACACAGAUAGUAGUAGGUAUGGCUGUUUGUAAUCUGUGUCAAACAGAAGCAUUCUUCAAAGAUUUCUCCUGGUGAUCUCAGAAGACGUUUAGAAGAUCUUGGAGAUUUUCUGUUUUCAGAUGUAAGGAGUCCUUCUUUACUACAGAGGCAGACAGCUGAUGGCAAAUAGAAGGCCAUCCAGGAUUUUGGUUUGAAAGGAACAAGCAUGUUUGAUGCUGAUAACUUUCCUGGCUUUCAAGUUGGGGAUAAGAAGAUCCUAGCAUGGAAGAAAUAGUUCCAAGGAGCUUGGACUUCGGAGUUCGAUGAUAGCAGGCCCUACCAAGAAGGUUUUGAACGUGCUUAAGAAGAAGGUGCAAAAAGUGAUGGCAAAUCUGAUCAUAUAGGAGUUGAAAGCUAGAGGAAUUAACAAUGAGCACACUCUUGCUUAUCAGAGUCGAGUGGGCCCGGUACAGUGGUUGAAACCAUAUAUAGAUGAAACUCUCGUUGAGCUUGGUCAGAAAGGUGUGAGGAGUCUUUUAGCUGUUCCAGUGAGCUUUGUGAGUGAGCACAUAGAGACCCUUGAAGAAAUUGACAUGGAGUACAGGAAGUUGGCUCUUGAAUCUGGCAUCAAGAAUUGGGUGCGUGUUCCUGCUCUUAGUCUCAGCCCUUCCUUCAAUACAGACCUGGCAGAUGUAGUGAUAGAAGCUCUUCCAUCUUCAAAAGCAAUGUAUGCAUCUACCAGCACUUCUGAAGAAGAGCAUGACCCACUUAGAGUUCCGGCGAUUGUGGUUUCAGAAAGGGUAUAACAGCAUUUUCAAGCUGAUAGUUACAAUACAAAACUGCAGUAAGAAAAAUGGGAAGUAAAGAAACUGCAUUGAUAUUCAUGCAUGAAGAAUAUGAAAUCCUCAAGCGCUACAAAAAUGAUAGAAGUUCUUCCAAGAGAUAGAAUAAGUUAAUGACUUUAUAAGUUUUAUAUGUACUGAUAUUUUUUAUCCCAAUGUAUUUUAUAACCAAUUUUAUAACUACUUUGGUUAUAAGAGAUUGAUAUAGCUAAUUUGGUUUGAAUUUUAUUAAUGUAAUACUAAUUUUCAUUAAUUAAUUUUUUAAAUGAUAUUCAAUGAUUUUAGUCAA